GUAUGAGUCUUGACUCAGCUAAACACAUAGUCUGGUUUCUGCCUAUGUCUUAUUUGUUGUUGUGUAUGCCUGACCCUCAUCUGUUGAAAGCAUAACUGUGUGAUUUGACUUUAGGGGAAUUUUUUUAAUUCAAUUCCUUUCAGCAUAUUUACUUAAGUGGAAUAGCCCUCUACCAGCUCCUGGGUUAAAACAGAACGCUCCACUGACUGAGUAAUCAAAUACCCACAUGACCCUAAUACUAAGAAGCCUAAAAGUCUAAUAUAUUCAAUUAUAAGAUCCCCAAUCUCAUCCCACAUUAUAUACUUAGAGUUUGCAUAAUGCUUAUAGAUGUUUUAAGUUUGGAAAUUCAAUCAGAUUCAGUUCUUUUUUCAUGAUCUCUUUGUAGACAGGAGAACACUGGCUGCUGAGCAGAAAGUGGCCAUGAUAACACUGGGUUUACCUUUGUACCCAUACAAGACAUGUGCUACCUCACUGCCACCCUGCAGUACUAAAUCUUCAGGGAAGAGCUGCUCUCUCUCCACUUAAUGAAGCCCAUGCUAAAAUGUCCACAAGCAAUGCAGCGCUACCCCUUCAGGAUGAGCCUGUUAUCACACCCAGAAAAUCAAGAACCACAUGCUUUUCCUCUUGGAUGAAGCAGGACUUUGGUUUCCAGGAAGAUUACUUUACUAAUAUUUGUUAAGAGUUUUAAUUUCCUGGCUUGAAGGUGGGCUAUUGCUGGAGGAGGUUGGCAAUGAAAAAGUCUUAUUGACAUAAAACAAUCCUGUAAGUGUUUGAUGUUCAUGCUUUUGUCAGUAAUCAAGGUCAGAGCUCACCUUUGCUUGGUCCCAGGGUGACAGGAUCAAGAGGAGGUGAAGUGACAAGGUACCUGGGGAAUUGACAAUGUCCCCAGGUGCCCAAGGUUGGGGAGACACUAAUGUGGGCAUAAUAGGAAUUGAGGGAGCCUGGGAUUAGGAGCCAAGAGGAAAGAGAGGUGGGGAAGGUUGUACAAGGCACUUCAUAUUCUUCUUUCCUCC
rnacentral:lncRNA from 12 species